CUUCAUUUCAUCAUCAAUCAGUUGAGCCGCACACUCCGAUUUCUAUUAUAUCGAAUGAUACGACAAGACCUCUGCUUUCGCGCGCUGUUUCGAGCAUAGAUGUUCCACCGGAGAUUUACUCCGACGACUACGAAAGCGAAAGCAUUUAUGAGGAGGCAAAAGACUCCAUGAAAGAGAAGAACACAUUAUCAGUUUUGUGUUCCCUGAUAUCGAUAUUUAGGGUGGUAAGGUCCGGGAAUAGGCAUAUGAAGAGGCUUUUGGUGAUGAUUUCGCUCAAUGUUGCAUAUUCUACUGCGGAAUUGGGAAUUGGGCUGUUCACGGGGCGUGUUGGGUUGGUAUCUGAUGCAUUUCAUCUGACAUUUGGUUGUGGUCUCUUAACGUUUUCUUUAUUCGCCAUGGCUGCUUCUCGGGGAAAGCCUGAUCGUGUAUACACUUACGGGUACAAAAGGCUUGAAGUUUUGGCUGCUUUCACUAAUGCUCUGUUUCUUUUGUUCAUGUCAUUUUCCAUAGCAGUGGAGGCACUCCAUGCAUUCAUACAAGAUGAAUCUGAGCACAAGCAUUAUUUGAUUGUUUCUGCGGUGACAAAUUUAUUCGUAAAUCUUAUUGGUGUUUGGUUCUUUAGGAACUAUGCCCGCAUUAACCUUGUUUACAGAAAAGCAGAAGAUAUGAAUUACCACUCAGUUUGCUUGCAUGUCCUUGCUGAUUCCAUUCGUAGUGCAGGUUUGAUAUUGGCAUCCUGGUU
rnacentral:misc_RNA from 1 species